CAGUCGAACGAACUCUGGUAUUGAUUGGUGCUUGCAUCAUGAUUUACAUUUGAGUGAGUGGCGAACUGGUGAGUAACACGUGGGAAACCUGCCCAGAAGCGGGGGAUAACACCUGGAAACAGAUGCUAAUACCGCAUAACAACUUGGACCGCAUGGUCCGAGUUUGAAAGAUGGCUUCGGCUAUCACUUUUGGAUGGUCCCGCGGCGUAUUAGCUAGAUGGUGGGGUAACGGCUCACCAUGGCAAUGAUACGUAGCCGACCUGAGAGGGUAAUCGGCCACAUUGGGACUGAGACACGGCCCAAACUCCUACGGGAGGCAGCAGUAGGGAAUCUUCCACAAUGGACGAAAGUCUGAUGGAGCAACGCCGCGUGAGUGAAGAAGGGUUUCGGCUCGUAAAACUCUGUUGUUAAAGAAGAACAUAUCUGAGAGUAACUGUUCAGGUAUUGACGGUAUUUAACCAGAAAGCCACGGCUAACUACGUGCCAGCAGCCGCGGUAAUACGUAGGUGGCAAGCGUUGUCCGGAUUUAUUGGGCGUAAAGCGAGCGCAGGCGGUUUUUUAAGUCUGAUGUGAAAGCCUUCGGCUCAACCGAAGAAGUGCAUCGGAAACUGGGAAACUUGAGUGCAGAAGAGGACAGUGGAACUCCAUGUGUAGCGGUGAAAUGCGUAGAUAUAUGGAAGAACACCAGUGGCGAAGGCGGCUGUCUGGUCUGUAACUGACGCUGAGGCUCGAAAGUAUGGGUAGCAAACAGGAUUAGAUACCCUGGUAGUCCAUACCGUAAACGAUGAAUGCUAAGUGUUGGAGGGUUUCCGCCCUUCAGUGCUGCAGCUAACGCAUUAAGCAUUCCGCCUGGGGAGUACGGCCGCAAGGCUGAAACUCAAAGGAAUUGACGGGGGCCCGCACAAGCGGUGGAGCAUGUGGUUUAAUUCGAAGCUACGCGAAGAACCUUACCAGGUCUUGACAUACUAUGCAAAUCUAAGAGAUUAGACGUUCCCUUCGGGGACAUGGAUACAGGUGGUGCAUGGUUGUCGUCAGCUCGUGUCGUGAGAUGUUGGGUUAAGUCCCGCAACGAGCGCAACCCUUAUUAUCAGUUGCCAGCAUUAAGUUGGGCACUCUGGUGAGACUGCCGGUGACAAACCGGAGGAAGGUGGGGAUGACGUCAAAUCAUCAUGCCCCUUAUGACCUGGGCUACACACGUGCUACAAUGGAUGGUACAACGAGUUGCGAACUCGCGAGAGUAAGCUAAUCUCUUAAAGCCAUUCUCAGUUCGGAUUGUAGGCUGCAACUCGCCUACAUGAAGUCGGAAUCGCUAGUAAUCGCGGAUCAGCAUGCCGCGGUGAAUACGUUCCCGGGCCUUGUACACACCGCCCGUCACACCAUGAGAGUUUGUAACACCCAAAGUCGGUGGGGUAACCUU
rnacentral:rRNA from 2 species